rnacentral:rRNA from 1 species
UCUUAGACAAUGGGCGCAAGCCUGAUCUGGCCAUGCCGCGUGAGCGAUGAAGGCCUUAGGGUUGUAAAGCUCUUUCAGAUGGGAAGAUAAUGACGGUACCAUCAGAAGAAGCCCCGGCUAACUCCGUGCCAGCAGCCGCGGUAAUACGGAGGGGGCUAGCGUUGUUCGAAUUACUGGGCGAAAGCGCGCGUAGGCGGAUUGGAAAGUUGGGGGUAAAUCCCGGGGCUCAACCUCGGAACUGCCUUCAAAACUCCCAGUCUUAGUUCAGAGAGGUAGUGAAUUCCGAGUGAAGGUAAAUUCGAGUUUCGAGAACACCAGUGGCAAGCGCUACUGCUCGUCUGCGUGCGUGAAAUCU